rnacentral:rRNA from 1 species
CAAGGGGAUAGCAAUAUCACCGGCGGACGGGUGCGUAACGCGUACACAACGUGCCCAAGGGCGGAGGAAAGCGGCGGGAAACUGCCGGUAAUACUCCAUGGCGUUGUUGAGUGGCAUCACUUAACAACUAAAGUACAAGCGCCCUUGGAUCGGUGUGCGUUCGAUUAGCUUGUUGGCGGGGUAACGGCCCACCAAGGCUACGAUCGAUAGGGGGUGUGAGAGCAUGACCCCCCACACGGGUACUGAGACACGGACCCGACUCCUACGGGAGGCAGCAGUAAGGAAUAUUGGACAAUGGGCGGAAGCCUGAUCCAGCCAUGCCGCGUGAAGGAUGAAGGCGCUCAGCGUUGUAAACUUCUUUUGGAUGGGAACAAUAACCAAGACUUGUCUUGGCUUGAGGGUACCAUCAGAAUAAGCACCGGCUAACUCCGUGCCAGCAGCCGCGGUAAUACGGAGGGUGCAAGCGUUAUCCGGAAUCACUGGGUUUAAAGGGUGCGUAGGCGGUCUAAUAAGUCAGUCGUGAAAUCGCUGGGCUCAACCCAUGCAAUUGCGAUUGAUACUGUUAGACUUGAAUGGGGUUGAGGCUAGCGGAAUGCGGCAUGUAGCGGUGAAAUGCUUAGAUAUGCCGCAGAACACCGAUUGCGAAGGCAGCUAGCUGGGCCUUUAUUGACGCUGAGGCACGAAAGCGUGGGGAGCAAAC